GUGCAUCAGCAGCAUCGUCGGCGCCGGGAAGCUGCGAAACUAAAAGCGGAAUAUUGAACAUUUUUUUUUUGCCCCAAUUUUUUUUUGCGUAAAUAUCUUGCCCUCGGCCGACCUGGCUUAGUGAAAAAAAAAAGUAGAGA